UAUUACAUUUUUGAAUACAUAUUACUGCUAACAUCAACAUAUAUCCAAGGAACGUUCCGCGAUAAUCCGUUUCUUCAGCGACAGAGAGGUGGAAAAAUCACGAAAUUCGCUGAAAAAUCCAAACUUUUUACGUUAAAUUUCGUGGCGACGCAACAAUAAAACUCUGGCAAUUUGUUGCCAGCGGUCGAAAUUUCAGUGAGCGCGAUUAAGUGAUUUAUUUCAAACGUUUUUCUGAGUUUUGCAUCAUUUGCAGCCAUUUUAUUGUCGUUUCUAUUUUCUUAUCAGAAUGGAUAAUUUCAAAGAGUUAAGAAAGUGGCACAUUUCGAGAGAUGAUAAGCGCCUAGUCCUCCUCCACCUCUCCUCUUCCACUUUUCCAUUUCCACAAAGUCUACAGAACAACGACGGUGUGAUGUUUAUCGUCGCAAAGUGACGACGAAAACAUAAGUUGCUGUAGAAUUUUAGAGGGUGUAUUUUUGGAAAUACUGAAAUAUUUUUGGCCCGAGGUUUGUUACAAAGAAUUUAAGGGUUGUGGCAGUUAAAAAACACAUACAGGAAAGCGAUUCAGAGUUUAGAUAGCAGCAGACUUGUUUACAGUUCGUAAAACACACUUCUGAAGUUGACGAUUUUUUCCUGAAAAGUUCCUAAAGACGCUCACGAUAAAGAAAUUGAUAAUAACUUAUAAGGAUACAACAUGUCUUUCAACGGAAGAAUAUUCACGAGUAAUUCGGGUUCGAAUCGCGGCUGAUGCAGGCUGCUCGACUAAAUUCGAAAACGGAAAACGUGGUUUCGCUUCGUUUUGCAAUGUGCAAAAAAAUAUGGAGUGCGAGAUUGGAAAUUGCAAACUAGCCACGAGUUGAGGCAACAAAUGCGGACAAGUAUAUUUGGUAAUUAAUUGCCAAAUCGAUAAAAACGCCAUCCUUCCGCUCUGAACUGAUAUCGGAUAUCGUUCUCACUAAACGUAGGACCAUCUAAUAAUCUUCACUGUAGUACUCUUAUUU